CCAGAUGAGAAGGAACAGCCCCACGAGUUAUCAGGCAAAAAAUAAGGGCUUUGCUUCAAGGAGCAAUUAGCCUGAUAAGACGGUGGUUAAAGUUCAAAUAUUAGUGCUUCACUGCCUGGGUUCACAUCCCAGUGGGGCACCCCCGAGUUGUUACGGAACCUGUUUCGGUGUGCUAACCUCGAAAAUGGGGAGGAUACACAUAUCUCAUGUGAGUGGUUAUGAAGAUUAACUGUAACCUUUACUCAGAUACACGUGGAGUACCUUCUGCAUAGCAGACACUGUUCUGGGCAUCAUAAAUACGGUGCUAAAUAAGACAGAAAUACUUUCCAUCUUGUUCACAGUCUCUCGUGAAAACUCAGAACUCCCGUGAACCCAUGGAAAGGGUUUGGAAUAGCACCCGGCAUACAAUGCAGAAACUGAGGCACAGGGAGGCGAAACAGCUGGAAUUCAAGGCCAGUCUGUCUUGACUCCACAGAACACCCCUUAAACCCCAACACCAUAUAAACUCGGGAACUACAAAGUUCUGAAUGGAAGUUCAUACCAAUAAAAGCCGUUUUAUACAAGA